AAGUUUUACACAGCCUGACCAGUGUCAGAGUGAUUUUUCUUCGUACUUGCAACGACGUCGCAGGCCAAAAUUUUGCGUGUGGGUCGCAGUAUUAUUUAAAACGGAAAAAUUCUCGAAAUUUGCUGUGCACUUUUCAAGGUAGAGGCAAUCGCGUAUAACAAAAAAUUCAUUUCG